rnacentral:rRNA from 1 species
GUGGGGUAACGGCCCACCAAGGCGACGACGGGUAGCCGGCCUGAGAGGGCGACCGGCCACACUGGGACUGAGACACGGCCCAGACUCCUACGGGAGGCAGCAGUGGGGAAUAUUGCGCAAUGGGCGAAAGCCUGACGCAGCGACGCCGCGUGAGGGAUGAAGGCCUUCGGGUUGUAAACCUCUUUCAGCAGGGACGAAAACAGACGGUACCUGCAGAAGAAGCACCGGCCAACUACGUGCCAGCAGCCGCGGUAAUACGUAGGGUGCAAGCGUUGUCCGGAAUUAUUGGGCGUAAAGAGCUCGUAGGCGGUCUGUCACGUCGGCUGUGAAAACUUGGGGCUCAACCCCAAGCCUGCAGUCGAUACGGGCAGACUAGAGUGCGGUAGGGGAGACUGGAAUUCCUGGUGUAGCGGUGAAAUGCGCAGAUAUCAGGAGGAACACCGGUGGCGAAGGCAGGUCUCUGGGCUGUUACUGACGCUGAGGAGCGAAAGCAUGGGGAGCGAACAGGAUUAGAUACCCUGGUAGUCCAUGCCGUAAACGUUGGGCACUAGGUGUGGGGGACAUUCCACGUUCUCCGCGCCGUAGCUAACGCAUUAAGUG